CUCUCCCUCCACACCUCCCCGCAACUGAGGGAGCCGGCUCCGGCCUCGGCCAGCCCAGAAAGGGGCUCACACAGUGCAGGGCCGGGCUGAAGGGCUCCUUAAGGGCGGCCAGAGUUGGCGCCAAGGCUGAGGAGGUGCCCAGAGCGAGCGAGGGCUGCCAGGGCUGCUAGCAGGCUGUCACCUCUCAAUAGCAGUUUUGUAUAUGGGAUCUAGCCCCUCCCUAAGAGGUUGAUUCUAAGGAAGCCAACAGCCGUGUUGUGAGUACCCAAUGGAAAGUCUGUUGUGGCAGAAAACUGAUGUCUCCAGCCAACAGCACUGAGGCCCUGAGACCUGCCAACUGUCAUGAUCUUCCGAUGCCUGGACACAGAAAGAGCAGUGGAAGGGGUCGUUGCAUGAGCAAAGACAAAGAGUGGGACACUGACUGUUACAUCUCAAGGAGAAGGAUUGCCAGAUCAAAAGUCUUGCAGUUAACCAGGCGUGGUGGCAGAUACCUGUAAUCCCAGCUAUUCGGGAGGCUGAGGCAGGAGAAUCGCUUGUACCCGGGAGGCAGAGGUUGCAGUGAGCUGAGACCGCGCCAUUGACUCCUGCCUGAUGACAAGAGAGAAUCUACGUCUCAACAACAACAACACGCUUGGGCACUGUAUUAACUCCAUAAUCGCCUCUGUGCUCUUUCCCCUGUGGACAAUAACUACCAUUUCAUCCUGGACACCCAUUGUUUGCCUGGACCACACCUUGUUAUGACCAUAACCCUCAGUCAGACUCAACCUUCCUUCAAGAUCUGCAGAUCUAAAUUUUAUUGGGAACAGCUAGUUUGACAAGCAUAGACCAGAUGUCCAGUUGUCAUUCAUUCAGCAGGAGCAGCAAGAUUCAAUCAUGUUUUUAUUAUAUUAUUUCCUGAAACUUGUGGCUGUAACAAUGAAGUUUGAGGAUUGGUCUGUGUAAGUAUGGCAGAAGUGAUGUUAAGUCGCUUAUGAGAUUAGGGUAUAAAAGACUAAGGCUUCCAUGCUUCCAUCUUGGUCUCUGUCUCUCAGAGAACAGUCAUGUGAAUGAUUCUUCUUGAAAGUAAAUCUUCCAGCCCCAGUCCAGUAUUCAAAUGAUCCAGCAACAUUGCAACUUAUGAGAGACCUUGAGCCAUCCAGGUAACAUGCUUCCAAAUCCUGACCCUUAAAACCUGUAAAAUAAUAAAUGUGGUUUUAAACUC
rnacentral:lncRNA from 1 species